rnacentral:rRNA from 1 species
CUUGGUCAUUUAGAGGAAGUAAAAGUCGUAACAAGGUCUCCGUAGGUGAACCUGCGGAGGGAUCAUUACCGAAUGGCCCGAUGGGCCUUCGAACCCUCAAACCCGUGGAAGAGAUAUGUGCCUCGGCGUCCCCAGAUGGGGGCGUCGCCCAAAUGCGUCCAUCUCUGUGUCUGAACAUGAAAUUGAAGAUAAAACUUUCAACAAAGGAUCUCUUGGCUCUCGCAUCGAUGAAGAACGCAGCGAAGCGCGAAAUGUAGUGUGAAUCGCAGAACAUUGUGAAUCAUCGAGUCUUUGAACGCACAUUGCGCCUCCCCUCCAGGGAGGCAUGCCUGUCUGAGCGUCUUUUAAACCUAUGGGCCCUCCUCUGGGUCCGUGAUGGGCCUCGCCCUCUGGGCGUAGCCUCAAAGACAUCGGUCUCCACGAGCGGGUCGGUUCCCCAGGGACGUGGCCGUUCGAGACCCCAAAGACUUCGAGUUUGACCUCAGAUCAGGUAGGGACACCGCCUGAACUUAAGCAUAUCAAUAAGCGGAGGA